ACAGCGAGGAGUGAUUCUCCAGUGAAUAACAAUACUCCGAGAAACGCGAAAACGAAAUUCAUCAGUAAAAACGGACACGAAUAGUGAUAUCACGAACGAUCUGGACAUGGACUCCAGUUGGAAGAAGGAUUCCAUGCAGAACAACAACCAGGAAAUGAAGAAUAACGAAUACUAACAAGAAACAAAACAUACAGCACAGCGUCUUGCCCCCGCGACUUCCCACUCCCCCGGAAGAUCUCCCCGAAACUUACGCCCAGAAGAAGUUCCGGGAACAGUACCGACAGACGGAACUUCUCCGACAAAAGACCAUCUACAGGGACCCCGAGGAAUGGGAAUUACCAGAAAAACGUGGAAGUGUUGAAAGUUUUGAUGUUUCCAAGUUCAAAGCUGCCAAUGCUAGCUCACAGGUACAAAAAAGAGAGAUAUUUUCCAUGACACCUGAUUACACAAAACAGAAUAGACAUACCGACUUGGCAGACGAUUUGUAUCAAACUCCUUCCCUCCAGAAACAAAAAAGUAUUCCAAAGUACGACGUUUCAGAAGAGGAGCUAAUGGCGGAUAUAGAAAAACAGUUCAUAGACUGACAUAAAAGUUCUUAUCUUUACGUUUGAAAUUAUGUAUGCAUGAUGGGAUAUCAUAAACACACGCCAUGUUGUUAUCAGUUAUCUUCUCUGUAGAAAAAAAUGAAGUGGGUAAACAACAAAAUUGUUCCGAAAAGCGGGCCAGGAAACUAUGGACUGCGUAAACCCUUGGGUGUUAACCUUACGAAAACAAUUAACUUCUCACCACCCGAAUUUUAAAAGGAAAACCACCGGAAAUUUUGCACUUGAUCACAUAGAUUGGGAGUAAGCAUUACACAUUAAAUCGUCUUGUACCAUAGACAACCAGGAAUGUGGAAAACAAUUGCCCCGCCCCGAUAUCUCACAAUUUACUCUUUCUAUUUUUUUUAAUGCAAAUGUCAUCUUUGAUCAGUUUUAAUAUGUUAUGCACUAUUGGUCUAUGAAAUACUAUUCUAUGGGUGAUAUGAAAAAAUCAUCAUUUUUUAAUAAACAUUAUUGAAAUACUGUUUGAUAAUUUUAUUAUGCAUGCAUUUUGAAAUAAUCACAGCUGUCUAUAGCACCCAUAUUUACUAAAUUUUCUGUUAUGAUGGCAAAUAAUAACUGAAAGAAAUACCUCGUAGUAAUAACUCAAGUGGCAUUUAGUUAGAAAUCUAAUUAUCUAAAAAUGACAAUUCAUUGUACUUGCACGUAAUGCAUAUUUGUACAUGUUAUGGCAAUAAAGGAUUAUUUAUUCUU
rnacentral:misc_RNA from 1 species